UUGCAUGGCCAUAUCACCUUGAAAAUGCCUAAUCUUGUUUGAUCUUGGGAGCUAAGUAGGGUUAGGCCUGGUUUGUACUUGGAUGGAAAACCUUAGGCAAAACCUUUUGCCCAGUAUU
rnacentral:rRNA from 1 species